AGUGAACGCUGGCGGUAGGCCUAACACAUGCAAGUCGAACGGCAGCACAGUAAGAGCUUGCUCUUACGGGUGGCGAGUGGCGGACGGGUGAGGAAUACAUCGGAAUCUACUUUUUCGUGGGGGUUAACGUAGGGAAACUUACGCUAAUACCGCAUACGACCUACGGGUGAAAGCAGGGGAUCUUCUGACCUUGCGCGAUUGAAUGAGCCGAUGUCGGAUUAGCUAGUUGGCGGGGUAAAGGCCCACCAAGGCGACGAUCCGUAGCUGGUCUGAGAGGAUGAUAGGCCACACUGGAACUGAGACACGGUCCAGACUCCUACGGGAGGCAGCAGUGGGGAAUAUUGGACAAUGGGCGCAAGCCUGAUCCAGCCAUACCGCGUGGGUGAAGAAGGCCUUCGGGUUGUAAAGCCCUUUUGUUGGGAAAGAAAAGCAGCAGGUUAAUACCCCGCUGUUCUGACGGUACCCAAAGAAUAAGCACCGGCUAACUUCGUG
rnacentral:rRNA from 1 species